CCUGAGAAACCCAAAAGUUCGAAUGGAGAGAUUCAUCGUCAGCGAUCCUGGCAAUUGUGCGGUUCGCGAUGUCGGAGACUUCGGUCUCGCGGCACGCGUCCGUAUGAUUUAUUUGCCGGGUGUCGUCGUCGUGCACUUCUCCCCUAGUAGGACGUCGCGACCCGUUGGGUGUCGGUCUACGACCCGGGUGGGCGCCCGUCAUGUGUCACGCUUUACGGCGUCAUGUGGCAGACCCCCGGUUGUCUGACCAGCUGCCCGGCGGUACUCGCACGGUAUCGAGUCGCAAUUAUAUUGCGUCCGGCCCGCCGCAAGCGAGGCCAGUGUUCCCGGAUGCACGGACUUAGUGCCGUCACCGGGCCUGGCCAGCUGUUGGCCGGCGGUGUCCUAGGACUGGCUCAUAAUAUAUACCGGUCGGCGACGCUACUGCUUUGGGUACUUUCAGGA
rnacentral:rRNA from 1 species